AAGAAGUUAGUUUAAAUACAAAACAUUAACUUGUCAAGAUAAAAUUAAUUAAUAUUACUUCUUU
rnacentral:tRNA from 1 species